rnacentral:lncRNA from 1 species
UUGUCAAAUCAUAAUUUUGAUUUUGAUUAUCAUUCUGCAUAUUAUCACACAAUAUAAGAAUGUUAUUUAUCAAGAACAGUGCACUGACAGUUUUGCUAAGAAAAAUGCAACAAAAAAUCAAACAAAGAUUCUCAUUUUCAUGUUUUCUCAUUGACAUUUAGAUAUAAUCAACAUUUUUUUUUAACUUCAAAACCAAUGCUCAUAUUAUAUCUUUUAAAAAGAUGGAAAAGUAGAAUAAUCCUGAAAUUUUAAUUGAUAAGAUACUGAUGUUACAUUAUAUUUGACACUUUCCUAAAAAAAAUGGCCAUAUUUUAUUCGUAACCAUAUUCUUUGUGUAGUAGGAUAAGCCUGAUACUGAAAAGAAGAGGAAUUUUUGAAAUUUAGAAUUUUAGGAGCUCAAUUAUAAAAGUAUCAUUCCUCCUACUUUGCCAUUGAUAUUGUUUCAAUCAAUUUAAUGCUUUAUUACCUAGAUUGAAUUGUUUUUAUGAUAGUAUUAAUUGAUUUAUCAAAAUGUAUCUUUAUUAUGUCAGAAGAAUAAAUAUUCGCAAACCAGGAAAUAUGAGUUCCAUUGUAAUAACACUAUGCAUCGUGAACAAAGUAAUGAUUUAGACAUUACAUUAUCAUAUAGUGACAUUAGCAAACAUUGUUAAAUAUUUUAUUUUGUAAUAAGUCUGUUUUAUUUAUUUAUUACAAAAGCAGAAAUAAUAAA